AUCCAACAUCAGAACAGUAUAUGAAUAUGGCAAAUGCUGUUUUGACAUCAUUUCCUGCCAUCCUGAGAAACAGUGAUUUCGAGGAGCAUGAAUUGCAGCUGCAAUGGAAAUUGCGCAUCCAGCGCAAGUUUCAGAAUUCAAGAAAGAGGCAGGAUUCCUCAGUGACUGAGGUGAUGUCAAGGAAAAAGAAGAUCCCUUGCAUAGCGCCAAAAGAGACUACGUGUCCACUGAUGUAUGGAGUAAAGGCUUACCUUCCACCAAGGCCCCAUUCAGAAGAUGAUAAGUCAUUAGAGAGACAUAGACAGUGGCCUGCUCUACAUUGGAUGAAGAAAGAUCCCGAGUUAGAUAAGCUAUCCAACAUCAGAACAGUAUAUGAAUAUGGCAAAUGCUGUUUUGACAUCAUUUCCUGCCAUCCUGAGAAACAGUGAUCUCGAGGAGCAUGAAUUGCAGCUGCAAUGGAAAUUGCGCAUCCAGCACAAGUUUCAGAAUUCAAGAAAGAGGCAGGAUUCCUCAGUGACUGAGGUGAUGUCAAGGAAAAAGAAGAUCCCUUGCAUAGCGCCAAAAGAGACUACGUGUCCACUGAUGUAUGGAGUAAAGGCUUACCUUCCACCAAGGCCCCAUUCAGAAGAUGAUAAGUCAUUAGAGAGACAUAGACAGUGGCCUGCUCUACAUUGGAUGAAGAAAGAUCCCGAGUUAGAUAAGCUAUCCAACAUCAGAACAGUAUAUGAAUAUGGCAAAUGCUGUUUUGACAUCAUUUCCUGCCAUCCUGAGAAACAAUGAUCUCGAGGAGCAUGAAUUGCAGCUGCAAUGGAAAUUGCGCAUCCAGCACAAGUUUCAGAAUUCAAGAAAGAGGCAGGAUUCCUCAGUGACUGAGGUGAUGUCAAGGAAAAAGAAGAUCCCUUGCAUAGCGCCAAAAGAGACUACGUGUCCACUGAUGUAUGGAGUAAAGGCUUACCUUCCACCAAGGCCCCAUUCAGAAGAUGAUAAGUCAUUAGAGAGACAUAGACAGUGGCCUGCUCUACAUUGGAUGAAGAAAGAUCCCGAGUUAGAUAAGCUAUCCAACAUCAGAACAGUAUAUGAAUAUGGCAAAUGCUGUUUUGACAUCAUUUCCUGCCAUCCUGAGAAACAGUGAUCUCGAGGAGCAUGAAUUGCAGCUGCAAUGGAAAUUGCGCAUCCAGCACAAGUUUCAGAAUUCAAGAAAGAGGCAGGAUUCCUCAGUGACUGAGGUGAUGUCAAGGAAAAAGAAGAUCCCUUGCAUAGCGCCAAAAGAGACUACGUGUCCACUGAUGUAUGGAGUAAAGGCUUACCUUCCACCAAGGCCCCAUUCAGAAGAUGAUAAGUCAUUAGAGAGACAUAGACAGUGGCCUGCUCUACAUUGGAUGAAGAAAGAUCCCGAGUUAGAUAAGAUAAUCAAGGAGUUCCUGAGAUUAGAACCACAAGCGGAUGAACCAGACCCAAGAGUAGCAGUUUUGAAAGGGCUGGAGAAAUAUAGGCUCCCAAUAAUUGCCAUUCUCAAAAAAAGAAAAGCAGUUCCUCUGUAUAUGGAAACCUUACUUGAACUCUAUGACCACGAUGAAAGUCAAUGCGAGUAAUGUCUAGUUCAAUUUGUUCAUUUCAGUAGCUGGUAGCAAUUUAAUAUAUGUAUCUUUUCAUCAUUAGCAAUGCAUCUUUCACUUUUAUAGGCCUAAUAUUCAUGAAACUAUGCUGCAUGCAAAAACCCAAACAUUGUAUUAAGCAUGACCUAUCUAACUGUAAUGCUUGCACCAAUUUCUAUAAAGGUACUAAUUUAAUUGUUAAAUUCCUGCUCUUCUAUCAAAUUUUUGGCUGAGUGCUAUGGCUAAAUAAUUGUUUGCAGCAUAAGUGAUGUUAAAGAUUUUAAUAGGUGUAAAGCAUCUCUCUCUCUCUCUCUCUCUCUCUCUCUCUCUCUCUCUCUCUCUCUCUCUCUCUCUCUCUCUCUCUCUCUCUCUCUCUCUUGUAAGGAAAGACAUUAUUUCUAGUGUAAAUAAACCCAAUAGGCUGUCCAAUUUGAAAUUUAAAAUGUAAAUAUUAUCAAUCUUUUUAGAAAUAUUAGCUGCAUCCUCUUCCCUUGCAGUCCAAUAAGACAGGUCACUAAUUCGUGUGGAGAUAGAAUUCUUGGAGUCACCUUUGCCGGCACUAGCGCAAGUGCAUACAGUCUGAUAAAGGUUUCUUCCAUGGUUGUGAUGAAGUUCAGGACUUCUCACACUGUUUCGAUAGAUAUGAUGAGAAGAAUCGGGAGUUCGGAACAUCAGUGCAUUAUGUCGGGGCAUGUAGGUUCGGCUGGGGUUUUCUUUCUUUCUUUCUUUUUUUUUUUUUUCGAUCACUACUCAUCAUAUUCUUACGAGGACUUGCUACACAAAGGAUUAUUGCAUUAUGAUAUUACCCAAAUAGUGUCUCAAGUAAAAAACAUAACCGCAUACUCGUACAAAAGAUUUGCUGCUGUGACACAAAGGACAAAAAUCAUUAGUGUACUGGUCGUUCUAAGCAUUCAAUCAAAAUGCUUGUCAUUCAUAUAAUUAGUAGAACCAUCGAGGAGCUUUAUUUUUGUUAAUUCUUAUGUGAUAAAGCAAUAAUUACAGGAGACUUUUAAAAGAUUGGUACUUAAAUUAGUGGACUGUCCUAUUGGAUGUGACCAUAUCUUCACUUUUUCCUUACACAGUUAAUUUUCUUUUGUUUAUUUGAUUUACUUAUUAUCAUUUUUAUUUAUAUAUUUAUUUAUUUGCACCAGAUGCUUGCUUAGUUAUAUUGGGGUUACUUCACCUGCUUGGAGAAAGGAAAGACUCCAUUUUUACUAAGGUACCAGAAGAAGAACUAAGAACAGGGCAGUCUAGUGUGUAUUUGAUGGUGCAUCUGUAGCUGAACCAACAUGUAUUUCUAUGGCUGUAGUCUCAUUGGUAGCAGGGCUUUGUGUUUAAUAUUGAACACCCAAAAAAUUGUGAA